rnacentral:rRNA from 1 species
GUGGGGAAUAUUGGACAAUGGGCGAAAGCCUGAUCCAGCCAUGCCGCGUGUGUGAAGAAGGUCUUCGGAUUGUAAAGCACUUUAAGUUGGGAGGAAGGGCAGUAAGUUAAUACCUUGCUGUUUUGACGUUACCGACAGAAUAAGCACCGGCUAACUUCGUGCCAGCAGCCGCGGUAAUACGAAGGGUGCAAGCGUUAAUCGGAAUUACUGGGCGUAAAGCGCGCGUAGGUGGUUUUGUAAGUUGGAGGUGAAAUCCCCGGGCUCAACCUGGGAACUGCCUCCAAAACUGCAUGACUAGAGUACGAUAGAGGGUAGUGGAAUUUCCUGUGUAGCGGUGAAAUGCGUAGAUAUAGGAAGGAACACCAGUGGCGAAGGCGACUACCUGGACUGAUACUGACACUGAGGUGCGAAAGCGUGGGGAGCAAACAGGAUUAGAAACCCCUGUAGUCC